UCACGCCUUACGGCGGCAGUUUCUUCAGAGUUCCCAGCAUUACCUGUUGGCAACUGAAGAUGGGGGUUGCGCUCGUUGCGGGACUUAACCCAACAUCUCACGACACGAGCUGACGACAGCCAUGCACCACCUGUGAGAGUGCCCCGAAGGGAAGCCGUGUUUCCACGGCGAUCACUCACAUGUCAAGCCCAGGUAAGGUUCUUCGCGUUGCGUCGAAUUAAACCACAUGCUCCGCUGCUUGUGCGGGUCCCCGUCAAUUCCUUUGAGUUUUAGCCUUGCGACCGUACUCCCCAGGCGGGGCACUUAAUGCGUUAGCUGCGGCACCCAGGGGGUCAAUACCCCGGACACCUAGUGCCCAUCGUUUACAGCGUGGACUAC
rnacentral:misc_RNA from 1 species